UACGGAGGGUGCAAGCGUUAUCCGGAUUCACUGGGUUUAAAGGGUGCGUAGGUGGGUUGGUAAGUCAGUGGUGAAAUCCCCGAGCUUAACUUGGGAACUGCCAUUGAUACUAUCAAUCUUGAAUACCGUGGAGGUCAGCGGAAUAUGUCAUGUAGCGGUGAAAUGCUUAGAUAUGACAUAGAACACCAAUUGCGAAGGCAGCUCACUACACAGUUAUUGACGCUGAGGCACGAAAGCGUGGGGAUCAAACAGG
rnacentral:rRNA from 1 species